GACAAAACAACUAAAUUUUUAUUAUUUGCUGAACAGCAGCCCCACAUACCAAUGCUGAGAUUUGAAGAGCUAAGCCGCUAGGAUGCACCCUGGGAAAAGGCUUGUGCAAUGCAGUCCUAGAAAAACUAAAACCAAAGCUGGACAAAUGAUCUUCUUUGUCUAUUCACAGCUCAAAUCCUAUAAAAGACUAUACCCAAGAGCACCAGAAAAACAAAUAGGAGCUGAAUUUCCUACAUUCGAACUACUACUCUUUACUUGAGCUUAACCAAAAGGCUUAGAGAUGAUCUCUCCAAACCACUCUUGUCAGAAUCUGCCUGGG
rnacentral:lncRNA from 1 species